AUGCCUGGCUACCUAUCUUCUUUGCAGAAUGUCUUGGCUCAGAUAGUUUGUUAUUGCAACACAAAGCAUACUAGGAAAAGAAAAGAGAAAUGUAUAUGUAGCUCAUGGUUUUACAGUUCUUUUGGUGUUCUGUCUUGUACUCCCACUCUCCAUUUUGUUUCCAUCCAGUGGACCUCAUCCCUCACCACUACCCAGUUCUGUUCCUCAAUCCCAAAUCCUGCAAAGUGGACAGAAUUCUUCCCUGAGGCUGGAGAAAAGGAAGAAGUCAUCCUUUCAAGGAGACAGCUCGUGUUAUUCCGAGUAAGCCUGACAUCAUCUCAACUACAGAAAGGUCAUUGGCUACGUGUUGGUCCAGGGAGUGGUAUGAAUACCAAGAGGAAUGAUUUCCAGGAGGAGCAGAAACUUUUGAUGGUUGGCCUAAUAAAAUAAAACUCCACAUUAGCGAAACCGAACUCGGAGAUGAUUCCAAAGCUGCUGCUCGCAGAUGAGCUCUCUCUGGCUCCCAUCCAACCCCAACGGCUGCACACACUGUAGCCACCGUGUGUCAUCUGCAAACCAGAUAGUUUCUGUGCAGGAAAGACCAGCCAGCUUUCUUGGCCAAGCUGUUACCAGAAAACGCACAAGUGAUUUGGAUUUUCAUGUUUUCUAAGGAUAUUUUACUUUGAUGCACAAGAUAGUUUAGUCCCAGACGGUCUGAAGCACUAUCAGAAAUGACUGGGUGAUACAUGUUUUAGCAAAAUCAG
rnacentral:lncRNA from 1 species